rnacentral:lncRNA from 1 species
UCAGGAUUAAUACUCAGGUUCUGCAAAACAGAUUGCCAAUUUGGAAACUCAUCUGUACAGCUUAGUAAGAGUCCCCCUCUGCCAUCAGUUGGUAAUGCUCUUUGUCAGAAUUAUUUCCUUGGAACUUUUUUAGAUCGCCUUGUCCUGGUUCUCCUGGGCUUCUGUGUAACCCAAGUGGUGUUUUUAAUUGAAUUCAGAAGGAUUCAGUGAAUGAUAUUUUCAUUUCCUACAGAGCAUAUUUCUCUGGAAUGAUCCAUCAAAGCCAACACUGACAAAAACGGCCUUCGUGAUGCUUUUUCACGCACAUUUUCAGAGAAAAAACACCUUGCCCAAGCAACAUUCAAGCUCAGUUCCAGGCAGUCUGUUACACAAAGACUCAAUGAACAGCACCAGACCCAAAUUUUUCAAGUUACCAGGGCUGCUGCAAAGAUGGUAGCUAAUUACCAGUGAGUACUUCUUCAUCCCCUGCCAGAGGCAUGGACUUACUGAAAAGGACAUAUGUUAAUUAUGGCAGAAAGGAAAAGGAUAGGGGAGAGGCAUGUCUCCUACUCAAGGUGAGACAAAUCACGAGGGAGGGCUGGCUGCAGGCAUCCCAGGUGAGAUGGGCUCCAACAAGGAGUAGACCCACAGCUGGCCCUAAUCCUGAAAGUCGUUAGAAGCCAUCUGAGAAAGUGGGGCAUUUAGCCGGUCAAGUUCAUCCACUUGGGGUGGGUGAUGCAUUAAUAUCUCUUGGUCCUCCAAGACAUCAUCUCCAGCAGCUACCAGAUUCGUGAGGGAUUUGCUUCGAACACACUGGAAAUCCACAUGGCGACUCUUCCCUUCUUCCUUUUCCCAUGACAUCUGGAUGAAGGGGCGUUGUACAUAAUUAUAGAUGACUUCAGACCGGCCGCCAGGCCUUCUCUUAAUUUUUUCUUUACAGGUAGGGUAACCUGCAAUGGAAAAAGGCCAUUCUCAUGACUAACAAAUUGUGCUCACUCUGGUGUCCAUACUUUCUCCUUCCUAACCACAUCAGUUUUCUCCCAAAAUCACAGCAUGGAAAAUAUGUGGGAAGUGACCAGUCCCUGUCCCAUGCUUUCCCAGCCC